GGUGUAGGGGUAAAAUCCGUAGAUAUCACCAAGAAUACCCAUUGCGAAGGCGAUCUGCUGGAACUCAACUGACGCUAAGGCGCGAAAGCGUGGGGAGCAAACAGGAUUAGAUACCCUGGUAGUCCACGCCCUAAACGAUGUACACUAGUUGUUGGGGUGCUAGUCAUCUCAGUAAUGCAGCUAACGCAUUAAGUGUACCGCCUGGGGAGUACGGUCGCAAGAUUAAAACUCAAAGGAAUAGACGGGGACCCGCACAAGCGGUGGAGCAUGUGGUUUAAUUCGAAGAUACGCGAAGAACCUUACCUGGGCUUGAUAUCCUAAGAACCUUUUAGAGAUAAGAGGGUGCUAGCUUGCUAGAACUUAGAGACAGGUGCUGCACGGCUGUCGUCAGCUCGUGUCGUGAGAUGUUGGGUUAAGUCCCGCAACGAGCGCAACCCACGUAUUUAGUUGCUAACGGUUCGGCCGAGCACUCUAAAUAGACUGCCUUCGUAAGGAGGAGGAAGGUGUGGACGACGUCAAGUCAUCAUGGCCCUUAUGCCCAGGGCGACACACGUGCUACAAUGGCAUAUACAAUGAGACGCAAUACCGCGAGGUGGAGCAAAUCUAUAAAAUAUGUCCCAGUUCGGAUUGUUCUCUGCAACUCGAGAGCAUGAAGCCGGAAUCGCUAGUAAUCGUAGAUCAGCCAUGCUACGGUGAAUACGUUCCCGGGUCUUGUACUCACCGCCCGUCACACCAUGGGAGUUGAUUUCACUCGAAGCCGGAAUACUAAACUAGUUACCGUCCACAGUGGAAUCAGCGACUGGGGUGAAGUCGUAACAAGGUAACCGUAGGAGAACCUGCGGUUGGAUCACCUCCUUUCUA
rnacentral:rRNA from 1 species